rnacentral:rRNA from 1 species
UACGGAAUAACUCAGGGAAACUUGUGCUAAUACCGUAUGUGCCCUUCGGGGGAAAGAUUUAUCGGCAAAGGAUCGGCCCGCGUUGGAUUAGCUAGUUGGUGAGGUAAAGGCUCACCAAGGCGACGAUCCAUAGCUGGUCUGAGAGGAUGAUCAGCCACACUGGGACUGAGACACGGCCCAGACUCCUACGGGAGGCAGCAGUGGGGAAUAUUGGACAAUGGGCGCAAGCCUGAUCCAGCCAUGCCGCGUGAGUGAUGAAGGCCCUAGGGUUGUAAAGCUCUUUCACCGGUGAAGAUAAUGACGGUAACCGGAGAAGAAGCCCCGGCUAACUUCGUGCCAGCAGCCGCGGUAAUACGAAGGGGGCUAGCGUUGUUCGGAUUUACUGGGCGUAAAGCGCACGUAGGCGGACUUUUAAGUCAGGGGUGAAAUCCCGGGGCUCAACCCCGGAACUGCCUUUGAUACUGGAAGUCUUGAGUAUGGUAGAGGUGAGUGGAAUUCCGAGUGUAGAGGUGAAAUUCGUAGAUAUUCGGAGGAACACCAGUGGCGAAGGCGGCUCACUGGACCAUUACUGACGCUGAGGUGCG